UGGCAUCCAAGAUAGGAGUUUGGCCCAGGA
rnacentral:piRNA from 1 species